GGAAAGCGGAAAGCUGCGUCGCGGGAAAGCUUUUUGCUUCGUGGAAGAAGCAGGCAAUGCCACAGACACCUCCCAGCCGGCGUGCUUUGAAUAAAGACCGCCUGCCUGAAACAAGGAGAUGUGUGAGAAAGGUUCCGCGAUGUUUCAGAGCAGCAGCUGCCGCCGCCAGGACGGGUGCUAGCUUGAAAAGUACGAAAGGGAAAGGCAAAAGUAGACGGGGAUAGUUGUAGCAUCUGGGAAGAAAGUGGGGUGGCGAAGGGGCCUACUGGGGACGCUUUUGUAGUUUAAGGAACCAGUGAGCUACGCUAGGAUGGAUGGAUGAAGUGCCGCCAAGUCGUUGUCGACUCUUAGCGACCACAUAGAAAGAUUCUCUCCAGGAUUAUCCGGAGAGAUCAUCUCCAGCCUUUAAGGUCUCUCAGUGGUGCAUUUAUUGCUGCCAUAAUCGAGUCCAUCUACCUUGCGGCUGGUCGUCCUCUUCUUCUCCUUCCUUCAACUUUCCCCAGCACUAUGGACUUUUCAAGGGAGCUGGGUUUUCGCAUAAUGUCCGAAGUAUGGUAGGUUGAGCCUGGUCGUUUGUGCCUCGAGUGAAGGAUUACCGAAAGAAAACUGAAGGAAGCGCUAUAGCUUUGGUGUCUCAAGUGAGGAGACGUAUCUGCUCUCUGUGAGGAUGUCCUUUUCUGGACUAAGUCUCUGUUAUUGUUAUGAAGAGUUUCUCUGACCACUUUCUCUCUGCAGCUGGGGAGAAAGAGAGAAACAAAAGAGAAAGAAGGCACUCCACAUGGCAGAGCAGAUCUGCUAGGAGGAUGGCUUGUUAUUGGAGUCGAUCCUUCAAUCCCAUCUCCCCUCGUCACAUUCUGUCUGCCACACACAUUUUUCCCCUUCCAGCAAUCAGCUCUGGUCUGAUUAGGACCCAUGAGGAAGGACUCCGGAUUGGAAUCCCGUGUAUUGAAAGUCACAGAUUUUGCAUCUUAACUGAAAUUGAUAUAUUCUCUCGAGAGAUUGUUAAGCAUGAUUAUUAUGUAUUUAAUGUCAUUUUUAGCGUGACCCUUAGCUUAUAUUUUAUCUCUCUCUUCUAAACAGGUGUUGGUGCUUAGGGAUUCGUGCAUGCCACAUCCAUUGGGGAGGUGGAAUUUCUCUCCUCUCCACAACUGACACACUUCAAAAUCCUCAGUGUGAAAUACAAUAAACUAUUUGUUGUUCCUUCUCCCCAUAGAACCUUGGGAACUAGUUCAAUGAAGGGUGGGCUAGGGUAGGCGUUCCCAUUUUGUGUCCCCAGAUGUUGGGCUACAGUUGUUGUUGAACCCAGUUACUGUUGGAUUUUAUUUGUUUGUUUGUGUUUUGUUUGGGGGUGGGUUUUUUAUUUUCGCCGCAGUGGACUAACACAGCUAUAGGGAAGGGCUGGAGCAGAGGUUCUCAUCUUUGAGUCCCCAGAUUCUGUACUACAACUCCCAACAUCAGUCCAACAUCAUCUGGGAACCCAAGAUUGGGAAUCCUUGGGCUUGGAGAUCUGACAAUUAUCAGCAUUCUUUCCAAACUAGGACCCCCAGAAUAGGACUGGUAUAAAACACGUGACUGAUAUCAGAGGGAGUAUCCAAACAACAAGCAAGUAUUGCCAAGGAGUAGGAUGUUGGGAAGGAGGCAGUUGAGGUUGGGGAGAAAGAAAGAAAAUUGAAGGGAUAGGGGGAGAAGCAAAGAACUGGUGAACCACUGGAAGACCAGUGUGGGACAGAAUGGCCAUGGGGAUAAGGCAUGGGCAGGAGGCCUGCCAUGGAAGCAUCUAACAGACUUUGGUGUUAAUUUCAAAUGGCUACUCGGCAAAAACUAGAACACUGGGUGCAGAUACUGUUGAACUGAAUACUGAAAUCAAAGGGAAAGUAUAUUUGGCUUUGAGGGGAAAGGAACUUUUGUAAAUGUUAAAGUCUCCACUUAUAACGUGUUUUGGGUGGUAUACAAAUAUGUUAAAUAAAUAAAAUAUAAAGAAGACUUUUUCCAUGUUCGUGUUGUUUGGACCAGUGUUUCCUCUAACAGGGAUUCCCAGAUGUUGUUGACUACAACUCCCAGAAUCCCCAAGCAAAAGCCAUUGCAGCAGGGGAUUCUGGGAGUUGUAGUCAACAACACCUGGGAAUCCCUGUUAGAGGGAACACUGGUUUGGAUUCUAAUUGCUUCUCAGAUUCCUCUUAAUUAACCUGUGGCUUCCAUCUGCCACACACGUAUAUGUUUGUGGUGUAGAUAGGUAACCACCAACUAUAUCUCUCCCCAGUGCUUUGGCACUUUGUCUCACACCUUUGCAGGCACCAGUUAUGACAUUGCCUGUGAUUUCUCUACUAUGAUGUGCUCAUUGUCUUCUUGAUGAUGACUAAGGUUGAGUAGUAUGAAGGAUGCAGGAGGAGAAGCAGCAACUCACAGGGGCAGUUUGAUUCUCCUCCUAUCCCAAGAAUAGAUGGGAGCCAGUGUGGUGUAGUGGUUAGAGUGCUGGACUAGGACCGGGGAGACCCGAGUUCAAAUCCCCAUUCAGCCAUGAAACUAGCUGGGUAACUCUGGGCCAGUCACUUCUCUCUCUGCCAAACUUACUUCACAGAGUUGUUGUGAAAGAGAAACUCAAGUAUGUAGUACUCUGGGCUCCUUGGAGGAAGAGCAGGAUAUAAAUGUAAUAAUAAUAAUAAUAAUAAUAAUAAUAAUUAAUAAUAGCAAAGCAGCUAUGUUCCUUUCAAAUAUAUUAAUGAUUCAUAAGACUGCCAGGUUAAGAAGUAUCUGUUCUAUAACAGGAAUUUGUAAUAGCUGGAGGUGGUUUGAAACCAAGCAGUCCAGCAGAUAUGGCAAGUAUUUCAACAUUUCUAAAUGCCAGAUUAUUUCACUUCCUUUCUGUAUUUUGUUCUGUAACCUUUGCCAAAGCUUAAGACUAGAGACGGUAGGGGGAAAGAUACUAUAUUACCUGGAGGAGUAUCUUCAACCUGGAAAUAGACCAACUUGAACAGAAAACUACAGACAUUUAUUUUAGGAUGGCAAUUAUUUCCUGGGAUUUUCUCCCAUGUGCUGGCAGUUUGGUUUUUAUCAGACUGUCCACAUAUAGGUUACAAGGGGAUAUUGUCUAUGUUUUGAGUGCCUCCCUAUGCGUUGUGGCUGUAAAUGCAAAAGUCAGAGACACACUAUAUCACAACCAACACAAAGGUAAAUGCUUUAUUAUUAAAAAAGCAGCCAUUUAAUUUCUUUCCUAAAGAAUGAUGCAACAUGAUAACUACAUGCUUUAUUAGCAGGAAAUGGCUUGGCUUGAAAUGCAUGGUUUUCAAUCAGUUUAAGAAAAACUCAUAACAAAAUAUCCCAUGAUACACAUCAUUGCACUGUUUCAGGAAGGAGGGAGUGUGAAAGAUCACAGGUGGUCACCACCAACAUGGAAGGAAGUUCUUAAGAAAAUGAAAGGUAAUUUUUCAAUUUACAAUGAACAGUAAUCUAUCCUUUCAAGAGAAAAAGAGAUGCUUCUCCAAAGUAAGCAAAAAAUACACCUUUGUCUUGUGUGGGAACAGACUUAUAUAGAGAACUGGAUAGGGACAAUCUUUAUUUGCAGGAAAUGACAAUUUGAAAAGCAUAAAGCUUUUCAAAAAUAGCUAAAUCUAUUUCUCCAUGUCAGCAUCAUCGGGAGAGUGCAUAACCUCUCUAAAUGCCUGCCUGGAGGCAGUAAUGGGCUGGAUGAGGGAUAACAAACAGACUGAAUCCAGAUAAGAUGGAGGUACUCAUUGUGCGGGGUUGGCACUCAAGAGAUGAUCUUGAUCUGCCUGUUCUGGAUGGGAUCACACUUCCCCAGAAGGAACAGGUACGCAGUCUAGGGGUUCUUCUGGAUCCAAGUCUCUCCUUGGUGUCCCAGGUUGAGGCAGUGGCCAGAAGUGCCUUCUAUCAGCUUCGGCUGAUAGGCCAGCUGCGUCCGUUUCUUGAGGUGAAAGACCUCAAAACAGUGGUACUUCUGCUGGUAACCUCCAGACUGGAUUACUGUAAUGCGCUCUAUGUGGGGCUGCCCUUGUACGUAGUCCAGAAACUACAGUUGGUCCAGAAUGCAGCAACCAGGCUGGUCUCUGGGUCAUCUAGGAGAGACCAUAUUACUCCUGUAUUGAAAGAGUUACACUGGCUGCUGAUAUGUUUCCAGACAAUACAAGGUGUUGUAUAUAACCUAUAAAGCCCUAAAUAGCUUGGGCCCUGGGUAUUUAAGAGAAUGUCUUCUUCGUCAUGAACCCCGCCCCCCCCCCCCGCCCAUUGAGAUCAUCAGGAGAGGUCCAUCUGCAUUUGCCACCGGCUCGUCUGGUGGCAACUCGGGUAUGGGCCUUCUCCGUUGCUGCCCUGAGGCUUUGGAAUGCGCUCCCUAGUGAAAUAAGAGCCUCCCCAUCUCUGACAACUUUUUAAAAGUCUUUAAAGACACAUCUGUUCACCCAGGCUUUUAACUGAUAUUGUUUUGAUUGUUUUAAUGUUGUGUUUAGAAUAUUGUUUUAAAAUUUUAAAUUGUGUUUUAAAUUUCUGGCUUCUAAUUUUUUUUGUUUUUGUUUUUAAUUAAUGUUUUACUUUUAAUCUUGUUGUAAAUCGCCCAGAGACGUAAGUUUUGGGUGGUAUAAAAAUACGUUAAACAAAAUAAUAAAUGAAUGAAUGAAUAAAUAAAUAAAUAAAUAAAUAAAGCAAUUCAUGGUUUCGCUCAAGCUUAAGAAAAUAAACAACUCAUAACAAAAAGUCUGGAGUGUGGUCAGGAACAUCAAAAUUGUUGCUUUGCUUCCAGCCAUGUGAAUCAUCACCACUGUGGAAAUAGACCCUCUAGAAGCAAGUCCUUUAUUGUUAAUGGAAAUGGCUGCUUGGUUCCGUUUCCAGCCACUGACAUUUUCAGACCAGUCACUGAAGACAUCUGUCAUGGUUAAACACUGAACUGAUCAUUUUGAUUACUGUUUUGCAAAUCAAAAGACAGUUUACAAGGAACUGCAAUUCAUCUGUUCUCUCAAGAGAGAAACAGAUAGUUCUCCAAGUAAGUGAAAACAACAUGUCUGUCUUGCAAUGAAUUCAUGCCCCUACUGUCUCUGCAUAGGGAUUUUCCAUGAAGAACUGAAAAAGAGUCUGCUGGACACCAGUCAGCCAUUGCAGUGGGAAGGCAAGCUGAACUCUGUAGUGUUUUAGGCUUCAAUGGUCCUCAUGUAUCGGGGACAGUCCUGAUCUUCAGGGCUGCUCAGUGAUUUAACAUAUCUAGUUGUACACACACUUCAAAUAUGUAUCUACUGCAUACUGAGGGACAAAUCUUCACACGUUAUCUUUGCAAAACUGUGGUUGAACAGUGGUGUAACCUGGCUGCUGAAUGAAGCGUGAAUCAAUUCCCAAAGAAAACUUUCUUGCCUAAAGGAAACAUUGCAAAACCGUUAGGAUGGUUUAUACCAAUCUAAAGGGAUUAGAUGUGUAAUCUUUAUUCUUUUUUAAUUAGCUUUGUGUGGAUAAGGUCUUUUUGAAAAUGAUAAUGAUAAAUGCAUGAAACCCAUGUGUGUAGAGUUUUAUUUCAAGCCACCAGUAGUUCUGAAAAGCAACCAAAGUUGUUUGAUAGUACAUAGACUUCAGUUACUAGAUUCUACCAGUUUUGAAGAUGAUUUGAAAAGAUUUCAGAAUAAAAUUUGAUAUAGAAGUAAAGGGUAGUGGGGGGAAAGCUUGACUAAUAAGUUUAGCUUAUUAGUCAAAUUUUUCCUGCAAUUUUCUGUGGAAUGCUUGCUUCAGAAAAUCCAGUCCUUUAACUCCUUACUCCAGAAUAUGCUUAGGCCAGAAAUUUACUAUACUGUCAUGUUGAUAGAUUGUUCACACAACCUGGGUGGGGAGGGGAGAGGCAGGGUUGAACCUACCUUCCUCCUAGACUAUCUUCCUCCUUUUGUGAGACCCACGGAUCACACGCCCACACGUCAUGCAGCUGCUGGCAGCGCAGCAUUGUGGAGACCAGGUGAAUGCAGCCUGAUUUCCAGGUAUCCUUAAAUGCACCAUGUGAGGAGCAUUGUGCAUUGGGGGAUUCCCCUACAAGCCAGGUACUCCAGGCCAGGGAUUCUCAGUGUUGGGUCCCCAAAUGCUAUUGGACUUCAACUCGCAUAAUCCCCAUCCCCAGUGUCCUUUAGUUGGGGAUUAUGGGAGUUGAAGUCCAAUAACAUCUGGAGACCCAACAUUGAGAAUCCCUGCUCUAAGCAUCUGGCUCUGUGUCUGCUUGGCUACCUGCAGUCUGAGCAGACACACAACUGGGAAUCCAGGGAGAAGUGUGCACUCACACCCUUCUACCUGGGGAAAAGCUUGGGAGGAAACUCGGGCUACCUGGGAGGGCAGCAUCAGGACCAGCCUUGAUUCCAGCACCUCACAUGAGCAGUCCUACCCAGGUAGGGCUGCUUGUGUGAACAGCCUUAUUGAAGUGAGUUCCCUUGUGCUGCUUACAGCAUAGAAGUAUGUUCUUUCAAUUAGUGGAUUAUCCUUUGUUGAACUAUUGACCCUUGCUGUUCUGAGCUUGGAAGCUCAUUUCUGUGCCCUUCAAAUUCAGAUUCUCAUAUAGAAUUCACAUUUAUUUACUAUUACAAUUUAAGCUUUACUUAAUACCUAAUAUGGAUUAUACAGUAAAUGGUGAUAUGGUCUCCAUCCAAAAGACUUAUCUUAUGAAGCACUAGCAUACUUUCAGGACUAAUAAAGCUUCUGCCAUGGUAUAAUUGACUGAAAUUGAACAAAAUUCUACAUUACACUUAAUUUCUGCUUACAGCAGUGGUGCCCCAGAAACCUUCAGAGACAGGGCUGUAGCUCAGUGAUACAGCAUAUAUUUUGAAGGCAAAAAUUUCAGGUCCAGUCCCUAGCAACUUGAGGGAGGGCUAAGAGAACUGCUGCCAGUCAUUAUAGACAGUACAGAACUAGAUGGACUAAUGGUCUCAUUCAGUAUAAGAUAGCUUCAUAUGAAAAUGAAGUAGUGCUCAGGAAACAAUGCUGUCUUAAGGUAUCUUAUGAUAGUCUGUGGGAACUAGGUAUGUCAACUCUAUGCUAAUUCGAUUUUGAGGAGUGAGUUUGUGUGAAAUUCAUAUUCCUGAUAACCUACAGAUAAUCAAAUUUGGCAGGCACAAUCCUCCCACAAACUAAGUUUAAAUAAUUUACAAGAAAUCCUGAAUAUCAUACUUCCUAUUUACCUAUAGAUGCCAAAUUUUGUAUGAAUGACCCUGCCACUGAAAUUAGCUGAAUGUACAACCUUACACCAGAAUAUACCAGUGGGACAGGUUAAAUCUUUUUUUAAAAUUUAAGGAAAUUGACUAUAAUAAUGGUUACUGUUCAACAGAUUUAUCAUUCAGUCAUUCAUUCCAAAAUGACAUCAUGUCCAAGAGAAGCAGAGGAAGUUUCUCAGAUUCAAAUUUACCAUAUAUGGUCAUUAUUAAAUUGUAUGAAUAAUAUUUGAAGUUGAAAUCCUACAAGUGUAAAUUGUUCUUUGACUUUCCUUUUUCAAACACAUUAAGAAAAUUCUUACAUAUAUUUACUUUAUUGAACUUUCAUAGACGUCUAAUCUACACAAAAUGACUUUGCCUGGUCAAUGAUGGACCUCACCUACUAGUGUAUCAUAAAACCAUGAAACUUAGUGCAAACAAGACAGAGGUAUUGUCUGUAGGGGGUCAGGAUCCAAGAGAUGGUUUAGAUCUGCCUGUUCUAGAUGGGGUUACACUCACCCUAAAAGAUCAGGUUCGUAGUCUGGGAGUGCUCCUGGAUCCCAAGCUCUCUCUGGUUUCUCAGGCUGAGGCAGUGGCCAGGAGUGUUUAUCAUCAGCUUUGGCUGAUACGCCAGAUACAUCCAUUUCUGGAGACAAAUUACCUUAAAACGGUGGUGCAUACAUGGGUAACCUCUAGGCUUGACUAUUGUGAUGCACUCUACGUGGUGCUUCCUUUGUAUGUAGUUCAGAAACUACAAUUGGUUCAGAACGCGGCAGCCAGAUUGGUCUCUGGGUUUACCCAAAGGGACCAUAUAACAUUGAUUCUAAAAGAACUGCACUGGCUGCCAAUAUGUUUCCGAAUGAAAUACAAACUGCUGGUUAUUACCUAAUCUAUGCUUAAGUAACUACACUGUGGGAGCCAUCAAGCAGACCAUCUGGUACAACAUUGACUUAUCACCUCUUCAGUUCUAGAUGUUGAAAUUCACAUCUUUGGCGCAGUUGGUGGUAAUAUAACCUUAGUAUAUUUUUUUUAACCUCAAGUUCAUUAUACCAAAACUUCCUGUAAAUCCCUAGAUGCAUCUGGUUUUAGUCCUUCAGCUCAAAUUAGAUGCAGUAGCAGUAGAUCUGUGUGUCCAAUUCAGGUCUGCUAUUGAAUCAUAAGGAGGGGGUGAGGAGAGAGCUGCCUUAGGGACAGGUGGCAAGAUAUGCUGAAACCAUCCCUGCCUCUGAUUUUCACUUCCCUCCACAACUCAACUUUUUAAUAGCAGUUUUUCCUCCAGUGGGUGGGUAAUUCUCAUCUCAGAUGAUGAACAGUAGAAAGGUUCAGCCCACUGUCCUUUAGAUCUCCCCACCCCAAGUCCUGUAUUAUAGGGGCUUAAUUUAUAACAAAAUGGGAGGUUGCUGCUGUCAUGUCUAGUCUGGUAUUUAGAAACAGCUGAACAACAAAAACUUUAACAAAAAGGUAUAGCUGGUGGUUUUUUUUGGCGGGGGGGGGGCGUUUAUAACACCCCUAAAACUCCUUUGAAUUUUCAAAACAUCCAUGUUUGGAGCACGUCUACCACUGCUCACAGAAAGGAAUGGAACAUUUAAGCUCUUGCUGCCGGAAAAGUUAG